rnacentral:rRNA from 1 species
GACGAACCGUGCGAACGUUAUCCGGAAUCAUUGGGCUUAAAGGGCGCGUAGACGGCCCGGAACGUCCUUCGUUGAAAUCCCCCGGCUCAACCGGGGAAGUGGCGAGGAUACGACCGGGCUCGAGUGGAGGAGAGGGAGACGGAACCCACGGUGGAGCGGUGAAAUGCGUUGAGAUCGUGGGGAACGCCGAUGGCGAAAGCAGUCUCCUGGACUCCGACUGACGUUGAGGCGCGAAAGCCAGGGGAGCGAACGGG